rnacentral:piRNA from 1 species
UGAAAUUGGAAAGAAGGGCCCUGCCUC